UAAAACCACAGGUAGUACUGAAUCCU
rnacentral:piRNA from 1 species